UGGGGAAUAUUGGACAAUGGGCGCAAGCCUGAUCCAGCAAUGCCGCGUGAGUGAUGAAGGCCUUAGGGUCGUAAAGCUCUUUUACCCGGGAUGAUAAUGACAGUACCGGGAGAAUAAGCUCCGGCUAACUCCGUGCCAGCAGCCGCGGUAAUACGGAGGGAGCUAGCGUUGUUCGGAAUUACUGGGCGUAAAGCGCGCGUAGGCGGUUAUUCAAGUCAGAGGUGAAAGCCCGGGGCUCAACCCCGGAACUGCCUUUGAAACUAGAUGACUAGAAUCUUGGAGAGGUCAGUGGAAUUCCGAGUGUAGAGGUGAAAUUCGUAGAUAUUCGGAAGAACACCAGUGGCGAAGGCGACUGACUGGACAAGUAUUGACGCUGAGGUGCGAAAGCGUGGGGAGCAAACAGG
rnacentral:rRNA from 1 species